rnacentral:rRNA from 1 species
UACGAAGGGGGCUAGCGUUGCUCGGAAUUACUGGGCGUAAAGCGCACGUAGGCGGUCUUUUAAGUCGGGGGUGAAAUCCUGGAGCUCAACUCCAGAACUGCCUUCGAUACUGGAAGACUUGAGUCCGGGAGAGGUGAGUGGAACUGCGAGUGUAGAGGUGAAAUGCGCAGAUAUCAGGAGGAACACCGGUGGCGAAGGCGGGUCUCUGGGCCGUAACUGACGCUGAGGAGCGAAAGCGUGGGGAGCGAACAGG